GCCUUUACCUCCACUAAAAACGACACUUCACACAACUCAAAUCAAAGGUACAUUUGAUUUCAAGCCUUGACGGGGAACUGAGGGUCGGCAGGGGCCGGAGAUUUCUCGGCAAGUUGGAAAGAAACGGAAAGCAAGUAACCUAGCGAAGAGCUCACCUCUUUUCGUCGGCGGCAGGCGAGAUUCCGGGGUACCUGAGAUGGUAGCAAGGGCUGAUCAAUAAAUUCGAACACCGAAUCAACAAAGGCAUCCAGUAAUCUCAGGGAAGUGUUCUUGACAAUUUUGGGGACAUUGAUUCUCAUGGGAACAUCAUGCAACUCCUUAAGGAGCGGCUGUCAUGUAUAUAUAUGAUUAAGUUCAGUGAGAAGACAUAUGCAAGGUCUGUUUCAUAUAUUGAAGAGAUUAGUUUACCUUGAAAGAAGGAGGAGGUGAAGUCUUCAAGUGUUCAAAUUUCUGAGAGAGGGAAGGCUUCUGCACGGAAGAGUUCACUGGGAAGAUUGCACAACUAGAAACAGCCAUCUCUCUCUC